rnacentral:lncRNA from 1 species
GGGCACAAAGUGUAAUUUCAUGGAAUUGCAUCAAUUCACUUUUGCCUAAGUAACUAAGAUUGGGAAUUUUAUGAAAACAUUUAGUUACUUUUAUACUUCAUUAUACUUAUAAUGGAAGGUUUCGUCCCAUCCUACCCGUUCGGCUAACGACCCUCCACUAGUCAAGAGUGCGGUGGGUAAGAGUGGAUACCCAUUCAAUCGCCAUUUUAUAGGCAAUUUCCUUAAACACCCCUUAUAGACCAGCUUCGUGAAUGAGGCCUACUAACGGUAAGACUGACUUUUACUCAUACAUAUAUAUAAUGUUAGACUUUUAAUGUUAUAUAUAGUAUAGGGUGUAUUUUACACUUUUAAAAUACUAGGUGGUCAAAUUUAACAAUUAUACUUUUAAUUCAAUUAAAUUGUAAACCUAAACUUUUAUGGAUUUAUUAAACCUCUUUUAAUUAUACACCUUAAUUAAUUAAUAAAACCAUAAGGGUGUGAUUUGAACUUUUUCAAAACUAUACUAGAGUUUUAGAAUUUAACAUUCCUAAUUAAACUUUUAAUCAACUUUUAAAUUCCAAAACUUGAGGGCAAGUUUUGAAACAUUUCAACACAUUAGGGUUUAGAAUUUAAAUAUACAUCAAAAUUAAACCAUUUAAUCAAAAUUUAAAUUCCAAAACUUGAGGGCAAGUUUUGAAACCUUUUUCAAAACAUUAGGGUUUUAACUAUUUAAAUUUCAAAACAACAAAACUUUUGGGUUCAAAUUUAAACUAUAAAACCUAAAGGGGAAAAUAUGAAACUUUUCAUAACAACAAGGAUCAAAUAACAAAUAAUCUAAAUUAACAUUUAAUCACAUAAUUAUCCAUAUUUGAUUUAUUUAAUGAUUUCUUGCAAAACAAUUUAUCAAUUUAAUCAAAAUAAUUAAUCAAUUAUCACAUAAGGAAACAAUUAUCUUAUUAAUUGAUAAAUAUCUUCAAUUAGAUCAAAAAUAUAGUCAAAUAUAUCAUAUAAUCGGAUUAAUAUUGAUCUAACAUGAUAAGGUAACUAUCCAUAAGCAAAAACAGCAAGAAAUCCCGAAAUACCCUCCAUCUGACGAGUUGACUCGUCGAGUCAGGCUUGGACUCGUCGAGUCUGCAUGGACUCGGCGAGUUCAGCUAUGGACUCGGCGAGCCCAGCCUCCAGAAACCAAAAAAUCGAAUUUUUCAAACAUAUCAAGCAUCAAUACAAUAGAAACCAGUCUAGGCUCUGAUACCACUGAUGGGUUUUGGUCAUAAGACAUCCUAUGUGCUCAUACAAACCCUAAUGCUUGGAUCUAGGUUUCUCUAUUGUACAUGCUUUGAAUCCAAGACUAUAAACCCUAAUUCUAGCAUAUGGAAAUCAAUAUUAACAUAUAAUUAGGUUUAAGAUAUUACCUUGAUUGUUAUGUAGCAAUAACAAUCCCAAUUCCUCCUUGAAUUGACUUUGGAAGGCUUAGAGUCACAAGUGUCACUCCUCUAAUGGCUUACAAACACCAUAAGCAAGAGGAUGAAGAGGAGAGAGGAUGGAGGCUGCCCAAAACGUGUUCUAACCCUAGAAGAGAAGUUCCCCACGUUUUUGAGCCUUAAGGGUUCUAUAUAUAGUGAGGCUAUUAGGGUUAUCUAACAAGGAAACCCUAAUUUGGUUGCUUAAGCCCUAAGCAACCCAUAGACUCCUUUAAUCAAGCCCUUGGACGAUUUCCUUAUGGGCUUCCCAUAAGAAUUCGUCCACCUCUUGAUUUAAGACAAUCCAUGGCCCAAAUUGCAAUUAUCUUAUAAUUACAAUUCCAGUCCCUUAAGUUUAAUUAAUCUCUUUUAGUCACAAAACUAAUUACCAAUUAAUUAUUGACUAAUAUUAAUUAAACAAUAUGAUUUCUCCUUUAAUAUAUUAUUCUCAUAAUAUAUUAAUAAAUCAUAUUUAAUCCUUUCUCUCCAUAAUUCAUCCUAUCAAGUUGCUUUGGUGAAGGCAACCCAAAAGGACCAUGCACCAUCGGGUCAAGUACAUACCAAAAUAGUUAUGGACUUAGACACUAAUCCAACAGUCUCCCACUUGGAUAAGUCUAAUAACUAUUCUGCGUAUGACUUCAGAUCCUGAUCUGCAAUCGUAGCUUUCCAAAGCCGCUGUCAACUCUGAUCCUAUCAGAUACGCGUGUCCUUAGAUAAGGGAUCAUAUAUUCCUCCAUUCUAGAUAUCAUAUGAGAUAUGAUUUCAAAUCAUUCUCUUUGUACUAUAUCUCGAUUCCCGAUUUAUGACGACUGACUAAUUGAACAAAUCAAAUUAGCCCUAGCCCGGCCGAGCAUUUACGUUUGUCAUCACUAAAUCAUCGAGGGGCCCAAAGAUAUCGCUUUUAUCCUACUUUGGAUAAAAGGAACGGAUAAACUUUGAUACAAUGCUUGCUUGCACUCACUCACCGAAUCACACACAACAAUAUGUUUUAUAACACCAAGUUACUAGUGCGUUUACAUAUUAUCAAUGUGCAACCGAUUUGCAAGAUACAACUCACACAUCUCGGUUUCAAGAAUAUAAGAUGUUAUCGUCUCACCAAUCACUCGUGAUACAAUUCAUGGAGUGAUCCAAGUGAGCGUGGGUUUAAUCCAAUGCUCAAAUCAUAUUCAUAAGCACUCAUGAACGUUGCAGCAAACAUUUGCUUAUGUCUAAUACUCUUUAGACAAUCCACACACCAAUUCACGACAGUCUUCAUUCAUACCUACUUCCAACAUAUGAACGACUGUGGCCCGUUCGAAUAAUUUGACUGUUCUUAACCAAUUAAAUUAUUCAGGAAGUCAAAACAUGCAAAGUGAAACACAAGAAUAAUACUAAUCCCAUAUGGCCUCAAACCUUUGAGUAUAAAUAAAACACCUUUUAUUUAUCACCAUAUCGAUUACUCAUUAUUUGUCGUUUCGGGUAAUCAACUUCUUACUUGAAUUAUUACACUUGUCCCAUGCUCCUAGCAUGCACACAAUGUUUACCUAUGGUUCUUACUUUGUGAAAUAGAUCAAAUUGAACACAUUUCCAAUCAUUCUCAUUUCACAACUCCAAAUCCUUUUUCAUAAGUGAAAGAAUAUCAAAUUCUUGCUACUUAUAGAAUAUGCUAGAUUCUAACAUUUUAUGCAAUGAUCUUUUUGUAAUGUCACUGCACCAAAGUCACAAAGACUAUUGCCAAUGAUAUUACAAAGUCCUCUAUCGGAGAUUGUUACAAGACAAUUCCUUAGAUAUGAUGUCUCUCACUCAAAGUACAUUCCUUUGAACAUCCUUUUGCAUAAAAGUUUCUAAUCUAGACAUAGAUUUUCAAUAUUCAAUUCCCAAUAUGGACACGUUUCCAUAUUUUCCAUAUGACAACUCAUUCUUAAUAGAAUCUUAUCUAUUCAUAAUAAUGUCGAUAUGGUCCAUCCAAUAUGGAAACAUUUCCAUAUUUUCCAAUACUAUACUUCCAACUACUCACAAGCGACCAAUCCUCGUCGAACUUUGGAUUGUCCUUUGAUAGUUGUUUAAUUAUUUUAGUCAAAACCGAUUCUAGUCCUUUUUCCCUCUAAAUGCGCUAGACAUUUGGAAAAUUUUAGAAUGGUCAAACAUUAAAGCAUUUGCAAUCGAUCCUAUACCCGAAGCGUAUGGGACACGACGCAUAAUGUUUUAUUUGCUAUGUUCUCAAAAUUCGAAUUGUGAAGAGGAAUGCCGUAAUCAUAAUCGAAAUUUUAAGAACACACUAUGUACCUUUGACUAAAUUUAUUAACAUUUCUCAACCUAAUCCUUUAGAUUUGAAAUGAAGCAUAAUAUUCUCUCCCUUAAUUAUAGCAAAACAACUUUUCAACUCUUACAACUUUGCAAAGUAUGACUCUUGUUUUCUAUAAUUAAUAUUGCUAACCUUGCAAUACUUUCCUUAAUAAUCAUACAAUCAUAACAUUUAUGCUCCCACUAUCAUGAUGAUUAUUAUAAAACAUAACACUUAUGCUCCCACUAGCUUCGACAUGUAUUCAUAAACAUCUUAACUUUCAGAAAAACAAUACUUAUUGAAUUUCUUAAGUUCAUGUUUCUAAUACUUAGUGCUUUGAUAAUCUUUUAUCAAGGCUUCUUGAACUUAUACACCUUUGCCUUCGAUAGUUCAUAUGUGUGUCUAAACAAUUAAGACUAAUUGCCAAACCUCACAAUUCAAAUUAUGGAAAGGGAUGCCGUAACCAUAAUUGAAUUCGAGAAUGCAAUUUUACAAUCACUAUCUUCUUAAAAUCUUUCUUAGUGAAAGCAUUUCCUCACAAUCAUUUUCAUGAAGGAGGAAAUCUUAUGACACUUAGAUUUAAACGGUGUAUGUGUUCCUAUCCAUGUGAAUUUGUUAAAACCAAAGUUUACGACAAAUUCAAACUCAUAUGGACCGAACUUUCUUAAUCUUGAUUUCUUGCCUUAUGGUAGCACAGCUGCCCACCAUGUCUUCCAAGUAGUUAAGCAGCUCACCCUUUCCUAUCAAUGUACCUUUCAUUGAUUAAGGUGCUUUGCCUUUUAUGCGUUCAAAAUGAGAACUCAUAGAACUCACAUGCAUAAUUAACUCGAUUGGAUUGGCACAGAAUCAAAAUAAUGUCAACACGAUAGGUUGUAAACCUCAACUCGUGUGCUAGUGAUGAUCGAUAAGGUUUAUUUGAUUUGUUCUUGAAACCUUUCAAGACCAUUAAGACUCCCACUGACUCCUUGACAUAUAAGAUUCUCUUGUCAAUAACCAUUUCUUGACAAACAAAUAUUCAAGAGUUAGUGUAGCUUUUAUCAAAACACUUCAUAAAUUGGUCCUAGUUGGUCUUUGUCUUAUCCAAGACAUCACAACUUUCCACAUUUAAUGAAUGUUAUAAACCUUCUUAAUACUUUUCACUCAAUGUCACAAUCUUAACUUUAAGACUUGUUAUUGGAACGAAGUAUGAUUGACUUCUUGAUUUAACCAUUUCUUCAAUUCUUGAUUCCUCUUCUUAGACAUACAAUUGUACUAAGACUCACUUAGAGGAUCAAUUGAGAUAUGGUUCUUAAUCAUUAAGACCUAUCAUAAAGCAUAAAAGGUACUCUCCCUUCUUCUUAGAAUGGAGAAACUUUUAUCUUUCUGCCUACUUGAUUCUUCUUAUUCGUUCUGCUAUUGAUUUAAACCUUUUCAAUCAAUUCAGAAUUACACUUAAUCUUAUAAGUAUAAUCAUAUUUACUAAACCUUUAGUAAAUCAUGACGAAUAUCUUUGUUACUCUUAUGGUGGACUUGAUCAACACGCAACUUUGUGUACUCGAUCUCCUAGUCCUUCACUUGACACUUUGUCAAUGAAUUAGUCUAAUUUCCAAAUAUGAAAUUUCUCAUUCAUCGUGCAACCAAGUUGCAUGAUUCCAAGUUUCUGUCCAAUUGAAACUUGGGCGAUGAGAAACUCUCCCUAUUUGGUAAAUUCUCGACUUUCCAUAAAUAACAUAAUAAGAACCAAAUCCAUUAUUGCUAAUAAUAGAAACAUUUUAACAUCAAUUUUUCAUACACGCCAUUGUAAGGAUAAAUAAAUAAAAUUUAAAAUCAAAAUUUAUUUUAUUGCGGAAAAAUUUGUCCUUACAAUGCAAUUCAUUGAAAAACUUAUGCUAAUACAUCUUUCUUAGCAAUCUAAUUCUAACUCUAAGUAGUAGCUCAAGAAUCUAAUCUUCGAGAAAUGCGAUCGAAAUCCAUUCCUUCACGGUUAGAUUCUGCUCACUUCUUCCCUUAAGCUUCCUUUCUUUUCUUCGAUCCUACAAAACAUCAAUUGUAAUCUUAUCACAUUAUGUAUUAAGAAUCUAGAAUAGAAGCUUAAAAGAGUUAGUUAAUGGAUUUUACCUAUAUUAGAGCCAUACGUUUCGACUCUCCCAUCUCUUAGAUCUCUUAGGUAAAUGGGGCAGCUUCGUCUCCAAUGCCCUUUCUCUUGGCAAUAAAAGCAAAUUGACUCUUUUGGAACAUGACAUGGAACUACUUCAGACAUUGCCUUUCUCUUAUGAUCAAACUUUUCGAUCAUAGCAUGUCUUUCGUUGCCAUUGUCUAUAUCCAUAGAGGUCUUGAAGGCAGAUUCACCAAUCAACUUUGCUUUUCUAUUGCGCCAAACCAUUGCUGAUUCAGCAGCAAUAAGCAUAUAGGUGAGAUCUAUAAGGGUCACGUCGUAGUUCAUCAUAUAGUACUCUCUUACGAACUCACUAUAUGAGUUAGGAAGUGACUGAAGAACCCAAUCAACAGCCAUUUCCUCACAGACAACGGAUCCCAACAUUCUUAACCUAUCAAUGUGUGACUUCAUCCCUAGGACGUGUGCACACACCGACUUUCCUUCUUUAUGUUUACUUGCCAAAAGGGCUUGAGUGAUCUUGAACUUUUCAAGCCUUUGAACUUGUGGGUUAGGGAGAAUAAUUGGAGGAGGUGGAGGAAGUGAAGCAUGAUUUCUUGUUCCUCGAUCGAAUCGUGGAAUAUCAUCUUCAUGUGGAAUGCUUGUUCCACGGGAUUUGGGAAGACCAUAGUUGUCGAACUUUGACAUCUACAAAACGGGAGAAAACGAAUUCAAGUUAGUUGAUUGAUUGAGUCCUUAGUAAAUCACCCAAAUGAGAUACUAAGGCUAGGACCCAACACAAUAUUCUACAACUCGGGAGAGGGAUGCCGUAACCCAAAUUGCAGAACAUUUGAAGGUAAGUGAAUGACGAUUCACUAAUUUCCACCAUGAAAAACGAAAAAGAAAUUUAAGUUUUAAAUCUAUGAAAACUCCUAGAUCCUUUGAGAUUCAUUGAACAUUUCAAUGGCAUGUUUAAAUCUCGAUAUGCCCCUCUUGUUUGUGACUGGGAUGCCGAGGAUCACAAAGCGGGUGUGAAUAACCAUGCAAACUUACAUGGUGCCCUCACAUGUUACAGUCACCUAUUCGAUGUGCCGGUAAACCACACACGCUCCACCGAACUAUGACAAACAUUGAGUCACCCUUUGCUACCUUUGCUUAGAACCAUUUAGUGUGCCGGUAAACCACACACGCUCCACUAACGUCUUCGCAAGGGCACAAAGUGUAAUUUCAUGGAAUUGCAUCAAUUCACUUUUGCCUAAGUAACUAAGAUUGGGAAUUUUAUGAAAACAUUUAGUUACUUUUAUACUUCAUUAUACUUAUAAUGGAAGGUUUUGUCCUAUCCUACCCGUUCAGCUAACGACCCUCCACUAGUCAAGAGUGCGGUGGGUAAGAGUGGAUACCCAUUCAAUCGCCAUUUUAUAGGCAAUUUCCUUAAACACCCCUUAUAGACCAG